ACGCUCGACACCUACGGAGGCAGCAGUAGGGAAUCUUCCACAAUGGACGCAAGUCUGAUGGAGCAACGCCGCGUGAGUGAAGAAGGUCUUCGGAUCGUAAAACUCUGUUGUUAGAGAAGAACACGAGUGAGAGUAACUGUUCAUUCGAUGACGGUAUCUAACCAGCAAGUCACGGCUAACUACGUGCCAGCACGGCCCGGUACGGUUAAUUCUGGAGGCCGGGCGUGGACGAAGGC
rnacentral:rRNA from 1 species